UAUUGGACAAUGGGCGAAAGCCUGAUCCAGCAAUGCCGCGUGAGUGAUGAAGGCCUUAGGGUUGUAAAGCUCUUUUACCCGGGAUGAUAAUGACAGUACCGGGAGAAUAAGCUCCGGCUAACUCCGUGCCAGCAGCCGCGGUAAUACGGAGGGAGCUAGCGUUGUUCAGAAUUACUGGGCGUAAAGCGCACGUAGGCGGCUUUGUAAGUUAGAGGUGAAAGCCUGGAGCUCAACUCCAGAAUUGCCUUUGAUACUGCAUCGCUUGAAUCCAGGAGAGGUGAGUGGAAUUCCGAGUGUAGAGGUGAAAUUCGUAGAUAUUCGGAAGAACACCAGUGGCGAAGGCGGCUCACUGGACUGGUAUGACGCUGAGUGCGAAA
rnacentral:rRNA from 1 species